rnacentral:rRNA from 1 species
AAGCGGCAACAGCUCAAAUUUGAAAUCUGGCUUCGGCCCGAGUUGUAAUUUGUAGAGGAUGCUUUUGGCGAGGUGCCUUCUGAGUUCCCUGGAACGGGACGCCAGAGAGGGUGAGAGCCCCGUAUAGUCGGACACCAAGCCUUUGUAAAGCUCCUUCGACGAGUCGAGUAGUUUGGGAAUGCUGCUCAAAAUGGGAGGUAUAUCUCUUCUAAAGCUAAAUAUAGGCCAGAGACCGAUAGCGCACAAGUAGAGUGAUCGAAAGAUGAAAAGCACUUUGAAAAGAGGGUUAAAUAGCACGUGAAAUUGUUGAAAGGGAAGCGCUUGUGACCAGACUUGUGCCGGGCUGAUCAUCCAGUGUUCUCACUGGUGCACUCGACCCGGCUCAGGCCAGCGUCGGUUCUCGUGGGGGGAUAAAAACUUCGGGAACGUGGCUCCUCCGGGAGUGUUAUAGCCCGUUGUUUAAUACC